AGUGAACGCUGGCGGUAGGCCUAACACAUGCAAGUCGAACGGCAGCACAGUAAGAGCUUGCUCUUACGGGUGGCGAGUGGCGGACGGGUGAGGAAUACAUCGGAAUCUACUUUUUCGUGGGGGAUAACGUAGGGAAACUUACGCUAAUACCGCAUACGACCUACGGGUGAAAGCAGGGGAUCUUCGGACCUUGCGCGAUUGAAUGAGCCGAUGUCGGAUUAGCUAGUUGGCGGGGUAAAGGCCCACCAAGGCGACGAUCCGUAGCUGGUCUGAGAGGAUGAUCCGCCACACUGGGACUGGGACACGGUCCAGACUCCUACGGGGGGGAGCAGUGGGGAAUAUUGGGCAAUGGGCGCAAGCCUGAUCCAGCCAUACCGCGCGGGUGAAGAAGGCCUUCGGGUUGUAAAACCCUUUUGUUGGGGAAGAAAAAGAGGAGGGUAAUACCCCGGUGUUCUGACGGUAACCAAAGGAAGAGCGACCGCUAACCUCCUG
rnacentral:rRNA from 1 species